rnacentral:misc_RNA from 1 species
GAUGAAGAACGCAGCGAAAUGCGAUAAGUAGUGUGAAUUGCAGAAUUCAGUGAAUCAUCGAAUCUUUGAACGCACCUUGCGCCCUUUGGCCAUUCCGAAGGGCAUGCCUGUUUGAGUAUCAUGAACACCUCAACUCUUUAUGGUUUUCCAUGAUGAGCUUGGACUCUGGGGGUUUUGCUGGCUCACAGUCGGCUCCUCUAAAAUGAAUCAGCUUACCAGUGUUUGGUGGGUAUCAUGGGUGUGAUAACUAUCUACGCUUGUGGUUUUUCCACCAGGUAACCUUCAGCAGUGGAGGUUCGCUGGAGCUCAUAGAUGUCUCUCCUCAGUGAGGACAGCCCUUUGAAUGUUUGAUCUCAAAUCAGGUAGGACUACCCGCUGAACUUAAGCAUAUCAAUAAGCGAGGA